UACGUAGGGUGCAAGCGUUGUCCGGAAUUAUUGGGCGUAAAGAGCUCGUAGGCGGUCUGUCGCGUCUGCUGUGAAAACUCGGGGCUUAACCCCGGGCCUGCAGUGGGUACGGGCAGACUAGAGUGCGGUAGGGGAGACUGGAAUUCCUGGUGUAGCGGUGAAAUGCGCAGAUAUCAGGAGGAACACCGGUGGCGAAGGCGGGUCUCUGGGCCAUAACUGACGCUGAGAAGCGAAAGCAUGGGGAGCGAACAGG
rnacentral:rRNA from 1 species